GGAGGACGCAUGCGCAUUUAUCUUUAUUCUGGUUGGGGAGCGGCAGCCCCUCCUAUGGGCGAGGAAGGAGUUUGGUGCUAGGAGGCAGCUCUGCAGAGAUCAAUGGCAAAGUCUGAGAUCUGCUUCCUGCUACUGGAGACCGCACUUAGCAUGAAAGGACAGGGAUAGAGUAAGGGUGAAUUUAGUACUUGAGGAAGGAGCCAGACUGGGAGUUCUGAAGGCUCAAGUCUCCUAUUCAUCCAGAAAACAAGCACAGCUGCCUGCCAACUCUGUAGGAGAAGGACCACUUCUAAGGGAUAUUUAGUUUCUAUGGCCAGCUUAGUCCUAACCCCUUUCCUGAGACCACCAACACAUCAAUUAGCACUGGUUGGUGAGGUGAAUUUUGUGAUGUGGGUUCCUGUCCAUUAGAAAGUGAAC